rnacentral:rRNA from 1 species
CCCGGGCCUUGUACACACCGCCCGUCAAGCCAUGGAAACUAGGGGUACCCGAAAGCGCUGCGCCAACCGCAAGGAGGCAGGCGUCUAAAGUAAAACUAGCGACUGGGCU